rnacentral:rRNA from 1 species
GACGAACGCUGGCGGCGUGCUUAACACAUGCAAGUCGAACGGAAAGGCCUCUUUCGGGGGGUACUCGAGUGGCGAACGGGUGAGUAACACGUGAGUAACCUGCCCUUGACUUUGGGAUAACUUCCGGAAACUGGGGCUAAUACAGGAUAGGAGCUCCUGCUGAAUGGUGGGGGUUGGAAAGUUUCGGCGGUUGGGGAUGGAUUCGCGGCUUAUCAGCUUGUUGGUGGGGUAGUGGCUUACCAAGGCUUUGACGGGUAGCCGGCCUGAGAGGGUGACCGGCCACAUUGGGACUGAGAGACGGCCCAGACUCCUACGGGAGGCAGCAGUGGGGAAUAUUGCACAAUGGGUGGAAGCCUGAUGCAGCAACGCCGUGGGCGGGAUGACGGCCUUCGGGUUGUAAACCGCUUUCGCUCAUGACGAAGCUUUGUGUGACGGUAGUGGGUAAAGAAGCACCGGCUAACUACGUG